rnacentral:rRNA from 1 species
GACGAACGCUGGCGGCGUGCUUAACACAUGCAAGUCGAACGGAAAGGCCCUGCUUUUGUGGGGUGCUCGAGUGGCGAACGGGUGAGUAACACGUGAGUAACCUGCCCUUGACUUUGGGAUAACUUCAGGAAAAUGGGGCUAAUACCGGAUAGGAUCUCCUGCUGCAUGGGGGGGGUUGGAGAGUUUCGGCGGUAGUGGAUGGACUCGCGGGUUAUCGGCUUGUUGGUGGGGUAGUGGCGUACCAAGGCUGUGACGGGUAGCCGGCAUGAGAGCGUGACCGGGGACAAGGGGCCUGCGAGAGGCAGCAGUAGGCUACCGGAGGCAGUAGGGGGGAGUAUUGCGCAACGGGCCGACGCCUGAUACAGCAACGCCGCGUGCGGGAUGACCGGUUACGGGGUGUAAACCGCUUUCGCCUGUGACGAAGCGGGAGUGACGGUAACUGGUCAAGAAGCACCGGCUAACUACGUG